rnacentral:rRNA from 1 species
UACGUAGGGUGCAAGCGUUGUCCGGAAUUAUUGGGCGUAAAGAGCUCGUAGGCGGUUUGUCGCGUCUGCCGUGAAAGUCCGGGGCUCAACUCCGGAUCUGCGGUGGGUACGGGCAGACUAGAGUGAUGUAGGGGAGACUGGAAGUUCCUGGUGUAGCGGUGAAAUGCGCAGAUAUCAGGAAGAACACCCGUGGCGAAAGCGGCUCUCUGGAACGGUACUGACGCUGAGACGCGAAAGCGUGGGGAGCGAACAGG